UACGGAGGGGGCUAGCGUUGUUCGGAAUUACUGGGCGUAAAGCGCGCGUAGGCGGACCUGCAAGUCGGGGGUGAAAGCCCGAGGCUCAACCUCGGAACUGCCUUCGAUACUGCGGGUCUCGAGUCCGGGAGAGGUGAGUGGAAUUCCUAGUGUAGAGGUGAAAUUCGUAGAUAUUAGGAAGAACACCAGUGGCGAAGGCGGCUCACUGGCCCGGUACUGACGCUGAGGCGCGAAAGCGUGGGGAGCAAACGGGG
rnacentral:rRNA from 1 species